rnacentral:rRNA from 1 species
GAUGAACGCUGGCGGCGUGCUUAACACAUGCAAGUCGAACGGAAAGGCUCCUGCUUGCAGGGGUACUCGAGUGGCGAACGGGUGAGUAACACGUGGGUGAUCUGCCCUGCACUUCGGGAUAAGCCUGGGAAACUGGGUCUAAUACCGGAUAGGACGAUGGUUUGGAUGCCAUUGUGGAAAGUUUUUCGGUGUGGGAUGAGCUCGCGGCCUAUCAGCUUGUUGGUGGGGUAAUGGCCUACCAAGGCGUCGACGGGUAGCCGGCCUGAGAGGGUGUACGGCCACAUUGGGAUUGAGAUACGGCCCAGACUCCUACGGGAGGCAGCAGUGGGGAAUAUUGCACAAUGGGCGCAAGCCUGAUGCAGCGACGCCGCGUGGGGGAUGACGGCCUUCGGGUUGUAAACUCCUUUCGCUAGGGACGAAGCGCAAGUGACGGUACCUGGAGAAGAAGCACCGGCUAACUACGUG